rnacentral:misc_RNA from 1 species
AAGAAGGGAAGGUCCAACGUCCUACUCCUCUCUUUGCGGUCAAUUUCUUAAAGGGAAGGACUCUUUCGUCUAUAUCUUCUAUUAUCUCUUGUGUUUGCCUAACAAGGAUUAUAUAUAAAACCCCAUAACUUCUUCUUGUUUAUUUGUGCUUUGCGAGUGUGUGUGUUGCUAAAAAUAUUCACUUUGGCAUUUCAAGAACCUCAAUAAACAUGGUGGGUUAUGAGGAAAAGCUUCUUGCAGGAGGAGAACAACAGCUCUCCCUUUCUCAACCUGGCCCUCUUGUCUUUGAGCUCGAUCGUCUGCAGAACCUUCUUAGAGAGAAAGACACGGAAUUGGGAGCUGCUAAUGCAGAAAUUAAAGCUUUGAGAACAACAGAAGUUUCAAAGGAUAAGGCUAUAAAAGAGCUUGGAAAUGAAGUUAAUAAACUGGAGGAGAAGCUCACAAUCUCUGAAAAUCUUGUAGAGCAUAAGAAUCUUGAAAUCAAGAAACUCAUAAAUGAAAAGAAAGAUGCAUUAGCUGCACAUUAUGCGGCAGAAGCAACUCUUAGAAGGUUGCAUGCAAAUCUAAAGGAUGAUGAUUCACUUCCUAUUGAGUCCAUCAUAGCUCCUCUUGAGGCAGAGAUUAAAAUGUAUAAAAAUGAGAUUGCUGCAUUACAGGAGGACAGGAAGGCAAUGGAACGCCUCACCAAGUCGAAAGAGUUAGCUCUUCUUGAAGCAGAACGGAUCCUUCAAAGUGCUCUAGAAAGGGCUUUAAUCGUAGAGGAGGUUCAAAAUCAAAAUCAUGAGUUGAAGAAACAGAUAGAAAUCUGCCAGGAAGAGCACAGAAUUCUGGAGAAAACGAAUCGCCAAAAAGUUAUGGAGGUUGAAAAGCUUAGCCAGACCAUUCAAGAGCUUGAAGAGGCAAUUCUAGCUGGUGGGGCUGCAGCCAAUACUAUCCGUGACUAUAAGCGACAAAUUUCUGAGCUACAUGACGAGAAAAGAUUGCUGGAGAGAGAGCUAGCCAGAGCCAAAGUUUCAGCAAAUCGAGUAGCAACUGUAGUAGCUAAUGAGUGGAAGGAUGAAAAUGACAAGGUCAUGCCUGUCAAGAAAUGGCUGGAAGGGAGAAGGCUGCUGCAGGCGGAGAUGCAACGGCUAAGAGACAAGUUAGCUGUAGCAGAGAGAACAGCUAAGGCAGAAGCACAGCUCAAGGACAAGUUGAAGUUAAGGCUAAAGACACUGGAGGAAGGCUUAAAGCAUGUAUCGAGUUUCUCUGUUAACUUCACUAAGCCAGCAAAAACCAGUAACAUUCUAGGAUUUCUAACAAGUAAUGGAGGAUUAAGGAAGAGGUCAACUUCACAGCCAAGGGCUUCCACCAUCAGUAGAGGUAUUCCUUUGCAGCAACCAAACAUAGAAAACGAAAAUACCAUUGCUGGUGGGGAGCUGAAACAAGCUGAUAGCUUCAAAAAGAAAUACUGUUACGCAGAAAACAAAUUGAGAAAUAGUCUAUGGUCAUCUAGGAGUAAGAUUAUUGAUAGCAACGGAAAGGAAAACACAGAAUUGAAGGCGAAUACUUACGCAAAUAUCGACAUGUAUAAGAAUGAUGAUACAACAAUUUCGACAGAACUCAAAAACAAAGCUGGUGGCAAUGAGGACUUACAUUGUAAGAGAAGUACCAAUCCUGAAUGUGAAGACGUAGUUUCAGGAUUUCUAUAUGACAGACUUCAAAAGGAGGUCAUAAAUCUAAGGAAGAUUUGCGAGGCUAAAGACAGUAGCUUGGAUGCUAAAGAUAAAGAAAUUCAGAUGCUCAUGAAGAAUGUUGCUGCACUGAACAAAGCUAUUGAAGUUGAAUCGAAGAAAGUGAAGAAAGAAACUGCAGCCAGAGAGAAAGAAGCUGUAUUAGCAAAAGUGGAUCAUAACAAAAAGUUUGGGAGUAUGAACUCCACUAGAAGGCAAGUAAAUUCAAACCUUUACCUUUUUUGGUUUAUCUUUGAUCAUAACAAGAAAUGACUGUAUUGCUAAAUUCAGAAUCCUGAUUGAUACACAGUAAAUAACCUUCAAAAUUAUUUGGACUGCAGCAGGUUAAUGAAAGUGUCUUGAAGAAUUCUUUGAUUGGAUUGACUUGAAAUCUAUUCUACCUUAAAUUAAUUUCAUUCUUCAACCUGGUGUUCUGAUUUUUCCAUGUAAAUCUGGGGCUGCUUUAGUGAUGAUAGAUAGUUGAAAUAAAGUUCAGAUUCAAUGCGAAAGGAGUUCUGACCUUGUUACCUGAUAGCAUGGAGUUGAAUUGCAAUUAUUUCUGCUUUGAGAUAUACUUGAAUGAUUUCCAAUUUGGUUUGCUUUGUGUAUAUGAAUAAAUAGCAAUACAGAUGAUCUGAAAAUUGGAAACAAAAUGUUCUACUCAGCAAGAAAUAUGUACAUAGAAACGGUUUUUAUACAAAUAAAGGCCAGAGAGAUUCAUUGGAAAAUUAUGUGUACAACAAAAUAUAGACCCCAUCUUGCCUCUUCUUAUCUUCUCUUUUGCUCUGGAUAAAGAAUUUGUUGGUUAUUAAUAAUUGCAGUUCAAUUCCCUUAAAUUCCUGUGGUAGUAUUCUGCUGGCCUUAAUUAAAAGCAGGCUUCACUGAGCACUUCUCAUUCAAUGGUCUAUCACAGGGUAUUCAGAUCCUUUC